GUGAGGAAUAUUGCGCAAUGGAGGCAACUCUGACGCAGCCAUGCCGCGUGCAGGAAGAAGGCGCUACGCGUUGUAAACUGCUUUUAACCGGGAAGAAACCCCAGGACGUGUCCUGGGUUGACGGUACCGGAGGAAUAAGCACCGGCUAACUUCGUGCCAGCAGCCGCGGUAAUACGAAGGGUGCAAGCGUUAUCCGGAUUCAUUGGGUUGAAAGGGUGCGUAGGCGGAGCGUUAAGUCAGUGGUGAAAUCCUGCAGCUUAACUGUAGACUUGCCAUUGAUACUGGCGCUCUUGAGUGCGCUUGAAGUGGGCGGAAUGUGCCGUGUAGCGGUGAAAUGCUUAGAUAUGGCACAGAACACCAAUUGCGAAAGCAGCUCACUAAGGCGAUACUGACGCUGAGGCACGAAAGCGUGGGGAUCGAACAGGAUUAGAUACCCGGGUAGUCC
rnacentral:rRNA from 1 species